AACGAACGCUGGCGGCAUGCCUAACACAUGCAAGUCGAACGAGACCUUCGGGUCUAGUGGCGCACGGGUGCGUAACACGUGGGAAUCUGCCCUUUGCUUCGGAAUAACAGUUAGAAAUGACUGCUAAUACCGGAUGAUGUCGAAAGACCAAAGAUCUAUCGGCAAAGGAUGAGCCCGCGUAGGAUUAGGUAGUUGGUGGGGUAAAGGCCUACCAAGCCGACGAUCCUUAGCUGGUCUGAGAGGAUGAUCAGCCACACUGGGACUGAGACACGGCCCAGACUCCUACGGGAGGCAGCAGAAGGGAAUAUUGGACAAUGGGCGAAAGCCUGAUCCAGCAAUGCCGCGUAAGUGAUGAAGGCCUUAGGGUUGUAAAGCUCUUUUACCAGAGAUGAUAAUGACAGUACCUGGAGAAUAAGCUCCGGCUAACUCCGUG
rnacentral:rRNA from 1 species